UCUUCCUUUAUGCACGACUACGCGAGUGGCAAAUUCAUACUAACUGAUGCAGGUUGGCUCUCGUUUGUCUCGUUUCGCUGUUAUUUGAAGAAUAUCAAAUACAAUCAACAAAAAAGAAGAUUGCAGAGCGUAACGUUAUAGGCAGUUUAUCUCCAGUAAAUGUUGAUAAUCUUUGGACAAUCAACAACUUCAGUAAUCAUCUUAAUGCAGAAACAAAUGAGUUCCUUAGAUCUCCUUAUUUUCAUGUGGAUAAGUAUAAAUGGAAUAUUCUAUUAUAUAUGAAUGAUGUUGGUAUUGGACCACAAGAUUUCAUAACUGUUCUCAUUAAUGUUAAAAUGGAGAGACCUUUCGAAUUAAGAAGUCAAAUUAAAUUUUCCCUGAUUAAUUCACGAGAUGAAGAAAUUAACAUUAAGAAUUCAAGGCGUACUCUUUUAUAUGGUUUAAGUGAAACAGUUGUACUGAGAAAAGCCUCUGACAAGAGAACUUGGAGUCUUGGAAUGAUAUUCGAGAAUAAGAACUUAUACAUGCUCACAAAGCCAUUUUAGCUGCUAACAGUCCAGUGUUUUAUGCCAUGUUUCAACAUGACACAACAGAAAAUCGAGAAAAUGAACGAUAAGGAAUCUUGAAAAUAUAGCACAAGAUCUUUUAGUUACAGCAGAUAAGUUUAACAUGAAUGAAUUGAAACUUUUGUGUGAAAAUUAUCUUUCUCACAAUAAGAAUGUUGAAAACUGUGUUGGAUUAUAUAUUUAUGCUAGACUGCACAACUUUAAUGAUUUAGAAAAGGAAGUGAGAAAAUACAUCCAUAAAAAUAUAAAAGAUGCUAUUUAUUCAACAGAGUUUAUUUCCAUGAAACAAGAAUAUCCAAACCUACUGUUAGAUUUACUAUGUUACUCAGUUGAAAUGGAUGAUUA